rnacentral:rRNA from 1 species
AUACGGAGGGUGCAAGCGUUAAUCGGAAUUACUGGGCGUAAAGCGUGCGUAGGCGGUUUAUUAAGUCAGAUGUGAAAGCCCCGGGCUUAACCUGGGAACUGCAUUUGAUACUGGUAGACUAGAGUAUGAUAGAGGGGGGUAGAAUUCCUAGUGUAGCGGUGAAAUGCGUAGAUAUUAGGAGGAAUACCAGUGGCGAAGGCGGCCCCCUGGACCAAUACUGACGCUGAGGUACGAAAGCGUGGGUAGCGAACAGAAUUAGAAACCCUAGUAGUCC